GCAGUGUAUGUCAGACUUCCAAGAAAAGCUCGUACACCAUUUUUUCCGCUUGCGGUUAAAAAGAAACAUAAAAAUGACCUGUACCUGAAACCGACACAGGUGGGUAGGUAGAGUAUACUAAGGGGCGCGAGAUAACUCUCUCUAAGGAACUCGGCAAAAUGACUCCGUAACUUCGGGAGAAGGAGUGCCUUAUUUAUAAGGUUGCAAUAACAAGAUCCAAGCAACUGUUUAUCAAAAACACAGGUCUCCGCUAAGUCGUAAGACGAUGUAUGGGGGCUGACGCCUGCCCAGUGCCAGAAGGUUAAAGAAGUUGGUUAGUGUAUGCGAAGCUGAUGACUGAAGCCCUGGUGAACGGCGGCCGUAACAAUAACGGUCCUAAGGUAGCGAAAUUCCUUGUCGGAUAAGUUCCGACCCGCACGAAAGGCGUAAUGAUUUGGAUACUGUCUCGGAGAGAGGCUCGGUGAAAUAGACUUGUCUGUGAAGAUGCGGCCUACCUGCACCAGGACAGAAAGACCCUAUGAAGCUUUACUGUAACUUGAAAUUGGAAUUGGACUUUGCUUGCGCAGUAUAGGUGGGAAGCGUUGAAAAUAUUCUUGCGGGAGUAUUGGAGCUAUCAGUGAGAUACCACUCUUGUAAUGUUAGAUUUCUAACUUUGAACCAUAAUCUGGUCAAAGAACAGUUUCAGGUGGGCAGUUUGACUGGGGCGGUCGCCUCCCAAAUGGUAACGGAGGCGUACAAAGGUUUCCUCUGAACGGAUAGAAAUCGUAUCUAGAGUGUAAAGGCAUAAGGAAGCUUGACUGUGAGACCUACAAGUCGAGCAGGGACGAAAGUCGGUCUUAGUGAUCUGACGGUACUGAGUGGAAAGGCCGUCACUCAACGGAUAAAAGUUACUAGGAUAACAGGCUGAUCUCCCCCAAGAGUUCACAUCGACGGGGAGGUUUGGCACCUCGAUGUCGGCUCAUCGCAUCCUGGGGCGGUAGUACGUCCCAAGGGUUGGGCUGUUCGCCCAUGAAAGCGGUACGCGAGCUGGGUUCAGAACGUCGUGAGACAGUUCGGUCCAUAUCCGGUGUAGGCGCUAGAAUAUUGAGAGGAGCCUUCUUUAGUACGAGAGGACCGAGAAGGACACACCGCUGGUGUACCAGUUAUCGUGCCAACGGUAAACGCUGGGUAGCUAUGUGUGGAGUGGAUAACCGCUGAAAGCAUCUAAGUGGGAAGCCCACCUCGAGAUGAGUAUUU
rnacentral:rRNA from 1 species